AUGCUUUCUUGGCAGUACAUAUAUUAAAAUUGGAAUGAUACAGAGAAGUUUAGCAUGGCCCCUGCUAAAGAAUGACAUGCAAAUUCAUGAACCAGUCCAUAUUUUU
ensembl:snRNA U6 U6 spliceosomal RNA